AGAGUUUGAUCCUGGCUCAGGACGAACGCUGGCGGCGUGCCUAACACAUGCAAGUCGAACGGAGAAUUUUAUUUCGGUAGAAUUCUUAGUGGCGAACGGGUGAGUAACGCGUAGGCAACCUGCCCUUUAGACGGGGACAACAUUCCGAAAGGAGUGCUAAUACCGGAUGUGAUCAUCGUGCCGCAUGGCAGGAUGAAGAAAGAUGGCCUCUACAAGUAAGCUAUCGCUAAAGGAUGGGCCUGCGUCUGAUUAGCUAGUUGGUAGUGUAACGGACUACCAAGGCGAUGAUCAGUAGCCGGUCUGAGAGGAUGAACGGCCACAUUGGGACUGAGACACGGCCCAAACUCCUACGGGAGGCAGCAGUGGGGAAUCUUCCGCAAUGGACGAAAGUCUGACGGAGCAACGCCGCGUGAGUGAUGAAGGAUUUCGGUCUGUAAAGCUCUGUUGUUUAUGACGAACGUGCAGUGUGUGAACAAUGCAUUGCAAUGACGGUAGUAAACGAGGAAGCCACGGCUAACUACGUGCCAGCAGCCGCGGUAAUACGUAGGUGGCGAGCGUUGUCCGGAAUUAUUGGGCGUAAAGAGCAUGUAGGCGGCUUAAUAAGUCGAGCGUGAAAAUGCGGGGCUCAACCCCGUAUGGCGCUGGAAACUGUUAGGCUUGAGUGCAGGAGAGGAAAGGGGAAUUCCCAGUGUAGCGGUGAAAUGCGUAGAUAUUGGGAGGAACACCAGUGGCGAAGGCGCCUUUCUGGACUGUGUCUGACGCUGAGAUGCGAAAGCCAGGGUAGCGAACGGGAUUAGAUACCCCGGUAGUCCUGGCCGUAAACGAUGGGUACUAGGUGUAGGAGGUAUCGACCCCUUCUGUGCCGGAGUUAACGCAAUAAGUACCCCGCCUGGGGAGUACGGCCGCAAGGUUGAAACUCAAAGGAAUUGACGGGGGCCCGCACAAGCGGUGGAGUAUGUGGUUUAAUUCGACGCAACGCGAAGAACCUUACCAA
rnacentral:rRNA from 1 species